CGGGAUGUGGCUCAGUGGUAGAGCACUUGCCUUGCAUGUGGAGACCCUGGGUUCAAAUCCCAGCACUGCAA
rnacentral:tRNA from 1 species